CCAAAGAUGUUCUUGUGAGUUGGAGAGGUGGAACUUGAAAGAUAAGUGAGACAGUGACCUGGAACUUGGGAGUAAGAAGGACAUCGUUAGCCAGCUGUUCUUGUUCCAUCAUUGCCAUCUGCUGGAAAGCUCUUGCUUUUCUGUCAGUCACCAGUAAAAUACGGCAAUAAGAACAGAAAAUGGGAGGAAGAUCACAAUUUUUUUAGACAUGUCAGAAUUAGGAAAUGAAAACAAAGAGCAGAAAGCAAGUAAAGGAAGUAGGUGAAUUACUGUUUG